rnacentral:tRNA from 1 species
UGUGACAGAAUAGUGUGAUAAAUUUAAGAUUUAUUUAUAAAGUCUAACUUUCUUUAGAA